rnacentral:rRNA from 1 species
GUGUACAGGCAUACCACCCUGAACAUGUCCAGUUCUUCUGAUCCCUAAAGCUAAGCACAGUUGGACCUGGUUAGUACUUGGAUGGGAUAAAGAAGGAAUUUUACACA